rnacentral:lncRNA from 1 species
ACAGUCAUUGCUGUGGAGAUGGCUGGUGAAUACAUCUAAGAAUACUGUGUGAUUGAAGUGGUCUAGCAUCAUGUUAUCAUUUCCCCACAGCAUGUGCUACCUGGCUUGACAAGGAUAAAGAAGGGCACCUGAAACUGAAGGAAGAAUUGGACUGGGAUUUUCAAUGACAAACUUCAUGCAUACACUCCCAUGAACAUGAAGAUACUACAAGCAUGUAAGAGAACACUGGGGCUCUAAGGCCAUAA